rnacentral:rRNA from 1 species
CGUCCGGGCGACCGCCCAAAACCAAAACUAAACAUUUCUUGAAUCUAUAAUCGAAGCUCUAACGAGUGGAGAAACGAAAGAAUCCUAGAGAUUCCGUUCUAAGCGGUGGAUCACUAGGCUCGCGGGUCGAUGAAGAACGGGGCCAGCCCCGAGAAUAAGUGCGAAUUGCAGACACAAAGAGCAUCGACUUUUCGAACGCAUAUUGCGGUAUCGGGCCUGCUCGAUACCACGCCUAUCUGAGGGUCGAAUAAAAGAGAAUAAAAGUCGUUCGUUUCUAACCAAUGUUCUAAAGGAAAGUAUUAGAGCAGAGGGAUGAAACAGCGAAAAUGACUUGAGACU